rnacentral:rRNA from 1 species
GACGAACGCUGGCGGCGUGCUUAACACAUGCAAGUCGAACGGAAAGGCCUCUUUCGGGGGGUACUCGAGUGGCGAACGGGUGAGUAACACGUGAGUAACCUGCCCUUGACUCUGGGAUAACUUCAGGAAACUGGGGCUAAUACCGGAUAGGAGCUCCUGCUGCAUGGUGGGGGUUGGAAAGUUUCGGCGGUUGGGGAUGGACUCGCGGCUUAUCAGCUUGUUGGUGGGGUAGUGGCUUACCAAGGCUUUGACGGGUAGCCGGCCUGAGAGGGUGACCGGCCACAUUGGGACUGAGAUACGGCCCAGACUCCUACGGGAGGCAGCAGUGGGGAAUAUUGCACAAUGGGUGGAAGCCUGAUGCAGCAACGCCGUGUGCGGGAUGACGGCCUUCGGGUUGUAGACCGCUUUCGCUCAUGACGAAGCUUUGUGUGACGGUAGUGGGUAAAGAAGCACCGGCUAACUACGUG